UAAUACGGAGGAUCCAAGCGUUAUCCGGAUUUAUUGGGUUUAAAGGGUGCGUAGGCGGCUUAUUAAGUCAGGGGUGAAAGACGGUGGCUCAACCAUCGCAGUGCCUUUGAUACUGAUGAGCUUGAAUACACUAGAGGUAGGCGGAAUGUGACAAGUAGCGGUGAAAUGCAUAGAUAUGUCACAGAACACCAAUUGCGAAGGCAGCUUACUAUGGUUGUAUUGACGCUGAGGCACGAAAGCGUGGGGAUCAAACAGG
rnacentral:rRNA from 1 species